UUCUGUAUUUGAAUGACAAGCAUCCACAACUCAAAGAAAUAUACAUCACUGAAAAUGGGUUUUCAACUAAGAGUGAUCACACGAAGACAGCCAAAAUGGUGUGUGAUGAUGACCAUGAUAGGAC